GCCUAAGCUUCAGCUACACACGACCGUACCGCAAACCGACACUGGUGCGCGAGAUGAGUAUUCUAAGGCGCUUGAGAGAACUCAGGAGAAGGAACUCGGCAAAUUGACACCGUAACUUCGGAAGAAGGUGUGCCUUUAGUAGGUGAACCUGUACAAGGGGAGCCCAAUGGGGUUGCAAAAAAUCGGUGGCUGCGACUGUUUAAUAAAAACACAGCACUCUGCAAACACGAAAGUGGACGUAUAGGGUGUGACGCCUGCCCGGUGCUGGAAGAUUAAAUGAUGGGGUGCAAGCUCUUGAUUGAAGUCCCAGUAAACGGCGGCCGUAACAAUAACGGUCCUAAGGUAGCGAAAUUCCUUGUCGGGUAAGUUCCGACCUGCACGAAUGGCGUAACGAUGGCCACACUGUCUCCUCCUGAGACUCAGCGAAGUUGAAAUGUUUGUGAUGAUGCAAUCUCCCCGCGGAAAGACGGAAAGACCCCAUGAACCUUUACUGUAGCUUUGUAUUGGACUUUGAACAGAUCUGUGUAGGAUAGGUGGGAGGCUUUGAAGUGUGGUCGCUAGAUCGCAUGGAGCCAACGUUGAAAUACCACCCUGGUGUGUUUGAGGUUCUAACCUAGGCCCGUAAUCCGGGUCGGGGACAGUGCAUGGUAGGCAGUUUGACUGGGGCGGUCUCCUCCCAAAGCGUAACGGAGGAGUUCGAAGGUACGCUAGGUACGGUCGGACAUCGUGCUAAUAGUGCAAUGGCAUAAGCGUGCUUAACUGCGAGACUGACAAGUUGAGCAGAUGCGAAAGCAGGACAUAGUGAUCCGGUGGUUCUGUAUGGAAGGGCCAUCGCUCAACGGAUAAAAGGUACUCUGGGGAUAACAGGCUGAUACCGCCCAAGAGUUCAUAUCGACGGCGGUGUUUGGCACCUCGAUGUCGGCUCAUCUCAUCCUGGGGCUGUAGCCGGUCCCAAGGGUAUGGCUGUUCGCCAUUUAAAGAGGUACGUGAGCUGGGUUUAAAACGUCGUGAGACAGUUUGGUCCCUAUCUUCCGUGGGCGCUGCAGAUUUGAGGAAGCCUGCUCCUAGUACGAGAGGACCGGAGUGGACACACCUCUGGUGUAUCGGUUGUCACGCCAGUGGCAUUGCCGAGUAGCUAUGUGUGGAAGAGAUAACCGCUGAAAGCAUCUAAGCGGGAAACUCGUUUCAAGAUGAGAUCUGCCGGGGCCUUGAGCCCCCUAAAGAGUCGUUCAAGACCAGGACGUUGAUAGGUCGGGUGUGGAAGCGCAGUAAUGCGUUAAGCUAACCGAUACUAAUUGCUCGUGCGGCUUGACCAA
rnacentral:rRNA from 1 species